UACGAAGGGGGCUAGCGUUGCUCGGAAUCACUGGGCGUAAAGGGUGCGUAGGCGGGUCUUUAAGUCAGGGGUGAAAUCCUGGAGCUCAACUCCAGAACUGCCUUUGAUACUGAAGAUCUUGAGUUCGGGAGAGGUGAGUGGAAUUCCGGGUGUAGUGGUGGAAUACGUAGAUAUCCGGAGGAACACCAGCGGCGAAGGCGGCUUUCUGGUCUGAUACUGACGCUGAGGCGCGAAAGCGUGGGGAGCGAUCCGG
rnacentral:rRNA from 1 species